rnacentral:rRNA from 1 species
AGAGUUUGAUCCUGGCUCAGGACGAACGCUGGCGGCGUGCCUAACACAUGCAAGUCGAACGGACUGAUGGCCUUCGGGCCAGCAGUUAGUGGCGAACGGGUGAGUAACGCGUGGGUAACCUGCCCUUAUAUCGGGGACAACUGACCGAAAGGUGAGCUAAUACCGGAUAAACUGUAAAGAUCGCAUGAUUUUGACAGGAAAGGCGGCCUCUAUUUAUAAGCUGCCGUAAAAGGAUGGACCCGCGUCUGAUUAGCUGGUUGGUGAGGUAACGGCUCACCAAGGCGACGAUCAGUAGCCGGCCUGAGAGGGUGAACGGCCACACUGGGACUGAGACACGGCCCAGACUCCUACGGGAGGCAGCAGUGGGGAAUCUUCCGCAAUGGACGAAAGUCUGACGGAGCAACGCCGCGUGAGUGAAGAAGGUUUUCGGAUUGUAAAACUCUGUCUUUUGGGACGAACGGUCUCUAUGUGAAUAAUGUAGAGGAAUUGACGUACCAAAGGAGGAAGCCCCGGCUAACUACGUGCCAGCAGCCGCGGUAAUACGGAGGGUGCAAGCAUUAUUCGGAAUUACUGGGCGUAAAGCGCACGUAGGCGGCCUUGUAAGUCAGGGGUGAAAUCCCACGGCUCAACCGUGGAACUGCCUUUGAAACUGCAGGGCUUGAAUCCUGGAGAGGGUGGCGGAAUUCCUGGUGUAGGAGUGAAAUCCGUAGAUAUCAGGAGGAACACCGGUGGCGAAGGCGGCCACCUGGACAGGUAUUGACGCUGAGGUGCGAAAGUGUGGGGAGCAAACAGGAUUAGAUACCCUGGUAGUCCACACCGUAAACGAUGGAUACUAGGUGUCGGGGACUUGAUCUUCGGUGCCGUAGCUAACGCGUUAAGUAUCCCGCCUGGGGAGUACGGUCGCAAGGCUGAAACUCAAAGGAAAUUGACG